rnacentral:rRNA from 1 species
GGGUUGUGAGGUUAAGCGAACAAGCGUACACGGUGGAUGCCCUGGCAGUCAGAGGCGAUGAAGGACGUGCUAAUCUGCGAAAAGCGCCGGUAAGGUGAUAUGAACCGUUAUAACCGGCGAUGUCCGAAUGGGGAAACCCGGUGCACUUCGGUGCAUCAUCGUUAGCUGAAUACAUAGGCUAACGAGGCGAACCGGGGGAACUGAAACAUCUAAGUACCCCGAGGAAAAGAAAUCAACCGAGAUUCCCCCAGUAGCGGCGAGCGAACGGGGAACAGCCCAGAGCCUGAAUCAGCUUGUGUGUCAGUGGAACGGUCUGGAAAGGCCGGCGAUACAGGGUGACAGCCCCGUACACGAAGGCACACAGGCUGUGAGCUCGAUGAGUAGGGCGGGACACGUGAUAUCCUGUCUGAAGAUGGGGGGACCAUCCUCCAAGGCUAAAUACUCCUGACUGACCGAUAGUGAACCAGUACCGUGAGGGAAAGGCGAAAAGAACCCCGGCGAGGGGAGUGAAACAGAACCUGAAACCGUGUACGUACAAGCAGUGGGAGCCUUCGUAAGAGGGUGACUGCGUACCUUUUGUAUAAUGGGUCAGCGACUUAUAUUCUGUAGCAAGGUUAACCGUAUAGGGGAGCCGAAGGGAAACCGAGUCUUAACCGGGCGUUAAGUUGCAGGGUAUAGACCCGAAACCCGGUGAUCUAGCCAUGGGCAGGUUGAAGGUUGGGUAACACUAACUGGAGGACCGAACCGACUAAUGUUGAAAAAUUAGCGGAUGACCUGUGGCUGGGGGUGAAAGGCCAAUCAAACCGGGAGAUAGCUGGUUCUCCCCGAAAGCUAUUUAGGUAGCGCCUCGUGAAUUCAUCUCCGGGGGUAGAGCACUGUUUCGGCUAGGGGGCCAUCCCGGCUUACCAACCCGAUGCAAACUGCGAAUACCGGAGAAUGUUAUCACGGGAGACACACGGCGGGUGCUAACGUCCGUCGUGAAGAGGGAAACAACCCAGACCGCCAGCUAAGGUCCCAAAGUCAUGGUUAAGUGGGAAACGAUGUGGGAAGGCCCAGACAGCCAGGAUGUUGGCUUAGAAGCAGCCAUCAUUUAAAGAAAGCGUAAUAGCUCACUGGUCGAGUCGGCCUGCGCGGAAGAUGUAACGGGGCUAAACCAUGCACCGAAGCUGCGGCAGCGACACUAUGUGUUGUUGGGUAGGGGAGCGUUCUGUAAGCCUGUGAAGGUGUGCUGUGAGGCAUGCUGGAGGUAUCAGAAGUGCGAAUGCUGACAUAAGUAACGAUAAAGCGGGUGAAAAGCCCGCUCGCCGGAAGACCAAGGGUUCCUGUCCAACGUUAAUCGGGGCAGGGUGAGUCGACCCCUAAGGCGAGGCCGAAAGGCGUAGUCGAUGGGAAACAGGUUAAUAUUCCUGUACUUGGUGUUACUGCGAAGGGGGGACGGAGAAGGCUAUGUCGGCCGGGCGACGGUUGUCCCGGUUUAAGCGUGUAGGCUGACUUUCCAGGCAAAUCCGGAAGGUUAAGGCUGAGGCGUGAUGACGAGGCACCACGGUGCUGAAGUGACAAAUGCCCUGCUUCCAGGAAAAGCCUCUAAGCAUCAGGUAACAUCAAAUCGUACCCCAAACCGACACAGGUGGUCAGGUAGAGAAUACCAAGGCGCUUGAGAGAACUCGGGUGAAGGAACUAGGCAAAAUGGUGCCGUAACUUCGGGAGAAGGCACGCUGACAUGUAGGUGAAGCCCCUGCGGGUGGAGCUGAAGUCAGUCGAAGAUACCAGCUGGCUGCAACUGUUUAUUAAAAACACAGCACUGUGCAAACACGAAAGUGGACGUAUACGGUGUGACGCCUGCCCGGUGCCGGAAGGUUAAUUGAUGGGGUUAUCGCAAGAGAAGCUCCUGAUCGAAGCCCCGGUAAACGGCGGCCGUAACUAUAACGGUCCUAAGGUAGCGAAAUUCCUUGUCGGGUAAGUUCCGACCUGCACGAAUGGCGUAAUGAUGGCCAGGCUGUCUCCACCCGAGACUCAGUGAAAUUGAACUCGCUGUGAAGAUGCAGUGUACCCGCGGCAAGACGGAAAGACCCCGUGAACCUUUACUACAGCUUGACACUGAACAUUGAGCCUUGAUGUGUAGGAUAGGUGGGAGGCUUUGAAGCGUGGACGCCAGUCUGCGUGGAGCCGACCUUGAAAUACCACCCUUUAAUGUUUGAUGUUCUAACCUGGCGCCGUGAUCCGGCGUGGGGACAGUGUCUGGUGGGUAGUUUGACUGGGGCGGUCUCCUCCCAAAGUGUAACGGAGGAGCACGAAGGUCAGCUAAUCCUGGUCGGACAUCAGGAGGUUAGUGCAAUGGCAUAAGCUGGCUUGACUGCGAGAGUGACGGCUCGAGCAGGUGCGAAAGCAGGUCAUAGUGAUCCGGUGGUUCUGUAUGGAAGGGCCAUCGCUCAACGGAUAAAAGGUACUCCGGGGAUAACAGGCUGAUACCGCCCAAGAGUUCAUAUCGACGGCGGUGUUUGGCACCUCGAUGUCGGCUCAUCACAUCCUGGGGCUGAAGUAGGUCCCAAGGGUAUGGCUGUUCGCCAUUUAAAGUGGUACGCGAGCUGGGUUUAGAACGUCGUGAGACAGUUCGGUCCCUAUCUGCCGUGGGCGCUGGAGAAUUGAGGGGGGCUGCUCCCAGUACGAGAGGACCGGAGUGGACGCAUCACUGGUGUUCGGGUUGUCAUGCCAAUGGCACUGCCCGGUAGCUAAAUGCGGAAGAGAUAAGUGCUGAAAGCAUCUAAGCACGAAACUUGCCCCGAGAUGAGUUCUCCCUGAGACUGUAAGUCUCCUGAAGGAACGUUGAAGACGACGACGUUGAUAGGCCGGGUGUGUAAGCGCAGCGAUGCGUUGAGCUAACCGGUACUAAUGAACCGUGAGGCUUAACC